rnacentral:rRNA from 1 species
GUGAGGAAUAUUGGUCAAUGGACGAGAGUCUGAACCAGCCAAGUCGCGUGAAGGAAGACGGUUCUAUGAAUUGUAAACUUCUUUUGUGCAGGAAUAAAGUGGGUUACGUGUAACCUUUUGUAUGUACUGUACGAAUAAGGAUCGGCUAACUCCGUGCCAGCAGCCGCGGUAAUACGGAGGAUCCGAGCGUUAUCCGGAUUUAUUGGGUUUAAAGGGUGCGUAGGUGGAUUGAUAAGUCAGAGGUGAAAGUUUGCAGCUUAACUGUAAAAUUGCCGUUGAAACUGUCGGUCUUGAGUGCAAAUGAGGUAGGCGGAAUGUGUUGUGUAGCGGUGAAAUGCUUAGAUAUAACACAGAACUCCGAUUGCGAAGGCAGCUUACUGGGAUGCAACUGACACUGAUGCACGAAAGCGUGGGUAUCAAACAGGAUUAGAAACCCUGGUAGUCC